AGCCCCGCCAGCCCAGCUAAAGCAGACGGCUCGCACUGCGACCCGAAGCGGGCCCAGCACAGGGAUCACAUUGUCGGGGUGACCUGGAUCCUACUUGAAGCCUUUGAGCUGGACUGUGGCUUUAUCCCUGAGGCCAGGCUUCAUGUCCAGAUGGCCAUGCCAGAGGUUGACGUGGCAGAGAAGGAGUGUGACACAGGCCAGUGGAGCGAGUGGAGCCAGCCUGUGUGCUUCCAGGCUCCCCAGAGACAAGGAACAGUAAGAGGACCUUGUGCAUGAAUAAUUUGUUUCCACACUACAGAGUGGGUAAUAAGCAGAUUAGUAAAAACAAUUCUGCUUCACUUCAAUAACAGCCUCCUCCAACUCAUUUUUUCUCAACAAACUUAUUUUUCCAGCAGAAGAAUCCCAGACUUCUUAGAGAACCCAGUGACUUUUUGCACCUUAAAUCUGUGAAAUCCUCAUGUUUUCUUCUGCCGUAUCCAUAGUUCAAACAAAGAUGAGGCAAAGCUAGAUGCAUUCCUGAAGGAACCCAAGAAAUUCCUCUCUUUAUUUCUCUGGAAUGAAAU
rnacentral:lncRNA from 1 species